AUAAGCCCGGGAAACUGGGUCUAAUACCGGAUAUGACACCUCCUCGCAUGGGGUGGGUGUGGAAAGUUUUUCGGUUGGGGAUGGACUCGCGGCCUAUCAGCUUGUUGGUGGGGUAAUGGCCUACCAAGGCGACGACGGGUAGCCGGCCUGAGAGGGCGACCGGCCACACUGGGACUGAGACACGGCCCAGACUCCUACGGGAGGCAGCAGUGGGGAAUAUUGCGCAAUGGGCGAAAGCCUGACGCAGCGACGCCGCGUGGGGGAUGACGGCCUUCGGGUUGUAAACCUCUUUCAGCAGGGACGAAGUUGACGUGUACCUGCAGAAGAAGCGCCGGCUAACUACGUGCCAGCAGCCGCGGUAAUACGUAGGGCGCAAGCGUUGUCCGGAAUUAUUGGGCGUAAAGAGCUCGUAGGUGGCUUGUCACGUCGGGUGUGAAAGCUUGGGGCUUAACUCCAGGUCUGCAUUCGAUACGGGCUGGCUAGAGGUAGGUAGGGGAGAACGGAAUUCCUGGUGUAGCGGUGAAAUGCGCAGAUAUCAGGAGGAACACCGGUGGCGAAGGCGGUUCUCUGGGCCUUACCUGACGCUGAGGAGCGAAAGCGUGGGGAGCGAACGGGAUUAGAUACCCUGGUAGUCCACGCUGUAAACGUUGGGCGCUAGGUGUGGGGACCUUCCACGGUUUCCGCGCCGUAGCUAACGCAUUAAGCGCCCCGCCUGGGGAGUACGGCCGCAAGGCUAAAACUCAAAGGAAUUGACGGGCCCGCACAAGCGGCGGAGCAUGUUGCUUAAUUCGACGCAACGCGAAGAACCUUACCAAGGCUUGACAUUGCCCGGAAACACUCAGAGAUGGGUGCCUCUUCGGAUCGGGUGACAGGUGGUGCAUGGCUGUCGUCAGCUCGUGUCGUGAGAUGUUGGGUUAAGUCCCGCAACGAGCGCAACCCUUGUUCAAUGUUGCCAGCAACAUCCUUCGGGGUGGUUGGGGACUCAUUGGAGACUGCCGGGGUCAACUCGGAGGAAGGUGGGGAUGACGUCAAGUCAUCAUGCCCCUUAUGUCUUGGGCUGCAAACAUGCUACAAUGGCCGGUACAGAGGGCUGCGAUACCGCAAGGUGGAGCGAAUCCCUAAAAGCCGGUCUCAGUUCGGAUUGGGGUCUGCAACUCGACCCCAUGAAGUCGGAGUCGCUAGUAAUCGCAGAUCAGCAACGCUGCGGUGAAUACGUUCCCGGGCCUUGUACACACCGCCCGUCACGUCACGAAAGUCGGCAACACCCGAAGCCCGUGGCCCAACCAGCUUGCUGGGGGGAGCGGUCGAAGGUGGGGCUGGCGAUUGGGACGAAGUCGGAACAAGGUAGCCGUACCGGAAGGUGCGGCUG
rnacentral:rRNA from 1 species